rnacentral:tRNA from 1 species
GGCAACUUGGCCGAGCGGUCUAAGGCGCUAGAAUCAGGAUCUAGUCCUUCGGGGCGUGAGUUCGAAUCUCACAGUUGUCA